AGUCAGUGACUGAUACUGUCCGUAAGUUAUUGUGUUCCCUCAAAGGUGAGAGUGGGAGGGGAGAACUGUCCGAUGAGAAUUUGAAGGAAUUUAAGAAGAGGAAGCUCAUCUGUAACACUAUAAUAAAAAGUUACAUAAUCACACAGGGUCCUAGCUUUACGACUAGCAUCAGUAAGAAGAGUACAGAGCUUACUGCUGAAAUGAUACAGAAUGGUUCAUGGAAGAAUGAAGAAUUCAAGUCUUACAAUUUCAAUGCACUAGGAGCUCCUCUUGCCACUGGUCACCUCCAUCCAUUGCUUAAAGUUAGGACCGAAAUCCUUGAGAUGGGAUUUUGUGAAAUGCCUAUGGAUAAUUUCAUUGAGAGCUCCUUUUGGAAUUUUGAUGCUCUUUUCCAGCCUCAGCAGCACCCUGCCUGUGA